GGGAGGGAGAGAAUAUUCUGGAACUCGUGCGAUCUGGUCUCCGUUCCUCUGCCAUCUCCGAUUUCUUCUCUUCUUCCUUCACUCUUUGCCAUCGCUGAUGAGAGAGCUGAGAUGCUGUGCGUUUUCUGUUGCUGGUCCACUGUUUUCCAGCCCAUGUCUGCUUUAUUUCUUGUUCUUGACCAUAUUUCUUCCCCCACUCUUCUGUUAGUUGAUGAUGAAGCAAGUAAAUAGCUGAUUUGAGGUUGUAAGAGAACUAAUUUAGUGGGUUGGAGGUUGGAAUUGUGCUGUCUUCUUCUUCCCCUGUUCAGUCGUAGGUUCUGUUCUGUGCUUCCCUGUGCGUUUGUGAUUGACUGCCUAAGGUGGUGAUGGAGACUCAUGUUUAGAUAAGUUUCAUAUUGUAUCUCUUCUUCCUCUAGCUUUUGGCAUGCUCAUCCUUGAAAGGGUGUUUGGAAGAGAAGAAGUUUGAUUAAAGUUGAGAGGAGAAAUUUGACUUCUGGAGAAAUUUCAGGUAAGUGGAUAGCGUCCCAACUGAUUUUUUUAAUCAAAAUUUCUUUUACUAGAAUAUUACGUUUUUCUGGAAAUCAUUUUAAUAGCAUUAAUGCAAUUAUUGGAUAUUUGUUGAUUAACUUUACUUUAUUUUGAGAAAUUAGCUUUAUCAAAUUUGAAAUGUUAUUUGAUCAAUUAAAUUAAGUUUGAACUUUGAUUAUGAGAUUUUUAUUUUAUCAAAUAUUGGCGUGAUACAGAGAAUGAUUCAUGCGAGUUCGACUUUGAAAUUUUGAUUAUUCAAUAAAUGCAAGCAUGAGUAUUGGAUAUGAAAUUUUAUUCUGGCAAGUUUUUAAUACUUAAAAAUGUUCAUGCGAGUUUGAUUUUGAGAAUGAGAACUGUAUCUUGAAAGUGAGGAUUUUCUCGCAUGUUUGAAAAUGGUUUUAAAAAUGGACUUUAUACGGAACACUGGUUGCUAACGGCAGUUCCGUUAGCCCUUGGCGCGCCAUGGUACACCUAGCUAGUAGGGUGUUUAUAGGAGGUCCUAGCCCCGUGCGAUGGCCAACGCACGUGGAAUGGAGGGAUGGUUAUUCGUGAGCGUCAUACUCACGUUUGUUUCGUGGCUUCAAGCCGCGUUUGAUUUGCGUUACCCUCAUGGACUGUGUGUCCACGUUUGUUUCGUGGCUUUGGCCGCGUUUGGUUACUUACCCUCGUGGACUGAGUGUCCACGUUUGUUUUCAUGGCAUAAGCCGCGUUUGGUUAGUUACCCUCGUGGAUUAUGUGUCCACGUUUGUUAAUUGUUCUGAUAAGUCCCUAUAUUUAUGAAUCCAAUCGUUUGAUGAUUUCAUAUUCUAUUGGUUUUUAUUUAGUAAUUUGUUUAUAAAUAUUUAUUUCAUUUAUGUGCUUUCUUGAAAUCAAGUGAUAAUAUCAUUUUCUAUGAUAGUUUAAUGAUUUGAGAUUUUAUUUGAAAUUUAUAGAGCCAUUUUAUUAUGAAGUUUAUAAAAUUUUUAUGAAAAUUUUGUCUAUUUAACUUAUAUAACUAUUUCAAACUUUUCAUUUUAUUUAUGUUCUAUUAUUUAUUGUUGGGACGUUAUUCACUGGAAAAGAUAUUUUGGUCUCAGAUGGUAUAGUUGAACUCGUGACCUGAGAUAUCCACUUAGGAGUUUUAUUGCUGAAUUGAAGUAGAAGAAUUAUUUCAGUCAAAUCCUAAUUUGAUAAAAAAUUUGAACUUUAUACUUACGUUGGCGUCUGGCCUCAGGUGCUCCACAUAGACUACAGGUAAAUGGCUCUUAAGAAAGGUAAACGCAAAAGUCAUAAUGACCUUGAUGUUCUCAGGGGUGGCCCCAGCAUUGACCUCAGUAGUGGUCCCAGCGUCGAUCCAAGUGGCGGCCCUAGUGUCGACCCUAGCAAUGGCCUUAAUGUUAUAGCUAGUAGUGAUACUCCCAAUGCUACUCUUAGUCUAACAAUGAAUGAUGAUCAGCUUCAGGAUGAGGCAAUUGAGAUUAGAAAGGGCUUAGUAUUGAUGACAGAAGUGAAUAGAUGGAGGAUAGCCAGACAAAAAUAUCCCCUCUAAUAGAAUGCUAAAGGGCAAUCGAUUAAGGACAAUAAAGAUGAAUUCAUCAGCUAUAUUGGAGCUGUGGCAAGAGAAAAUGUGCCUAUCACACUCAGAAAUUGGAAGAAGGCAUAUCAAUCUAUGAGGCAAUAUAUUUGGGAACAAGUAGAGUUAGCAUUUAUAAUUGAUGCUAGUCAAAGGAAGUAUGUCCUUUAAAUAGCUGGGAGAGGAAUGAGUUCUUUUCGAUAUUUUGUGGGAUCAAAAUAUAUUAAAAGAGCAGGUGGAAACAUUAGUUUCGAGGUCUCCACUUUAAUUAAACCUUUGGUAACCCAACAACAAUGGGAUGAAUUUGUUGCAUCUCAUUUUCAAAUGGAAUUUCAGCAAUUGAGCCAACAAAAUCAGGAGUUGGUUAAGAAAAAUCCUUAUCCUUUUAAGAAAGAUCGUGUAGGGUAUUCAGGCAUAGAGGAAAAGAUGAUUGAGCGAGAAGGCACAGGAGUUAGUAGCAUAUCCCGCCAUGUUCUUUUCAUAGAAGGUUGAACCAAUAAAGAGGGUAACAUUACAGAUGAGCAUGUUCAGGAGAUAGCUAAUAAAUGUGUAAUUAUUAAUUUGACAUAGUAAAUUUAAUUUUUUCAUUCAAACAAGUAAUUUAAGUUUUUCAAUUUGUGUCACAUAAGCUGCUAUCUCAGAUGAAGUCUUAAAGAGUGAGCGUCUGGAGGAUGAAGAUAUCUUGGGUCAGGCAUUGGAUAAUCCUGACCACCCCGGACGUGUUAAGGGUGUUGGUUUUGGCAUCACUAAGAAGCAAGUAUUUGGGACUAAAAAGCCAUCAAAAGGUGCAACACCUUCUUUAGCUGAGUUUAAUGCACUAAAAGAUAAGGUUGAUAGGAUGCAUCAGUUGGUUGAUGUGUUGCUCAUGUCCCAAUAGUAAGAGAGACAGUUGCACCGUAGCUCAGCCUUCUCAUCCGAACCUUCCUGAGGUAAAGCCAAAUGUGAGUUUUUAGCAAACAGUCUAGAUCGUCGUGUGGUUGCAAUUGGUAUAAUGUAUAAUGUCCCCAGGGGCAUUAUACAUAAUGUGCCAAUUCCUUUAGGCAACAUACGAGUUUGUCUAAAGGUUUCUUUGGAUGACAACUAUCAGCUGCCCAUUCCAACGGAGGAUGUGAUGACUGUAGGAGAUGUAUUGGGCACCUUUAUUGCAUGGCCCACCACCCUUAUAAGGCCAAUAUCUAACAAAGAUAAGUUUAAGGAAAAAGACUUCCCUAGCAAACAAUCAACUGGCCAUAAGUCAAAGAUUAUCGCACCUCCCCUGCUUCAAAAGAUGGAGCCUCAAUUGUCACAUAAAUUCCUGACUUUACUAGGGGCAUAUGCUACCAUGCAAAGGAGUAUUCAUGAUUUUAUUGCUGUAGACGUCCCAUUCGAGCAUGGUAUGUAUGACAGAGAUCAUACCAAUCACAUAACACUCUAUAGAUGAAGUACUCCACCAUGGCAUGAUUAGCACGAUCGUCAUGGAUUUUUAUUUGAGAUCAAGCAAAGCAACUAUGCAAUUCAUUCAAAGCUAGGACUACUAAAAAAGGGGGGAGGUUAUUCUUAAUACCUUACGUGCAAGGGGAUCAUUGGGUGCUGAUUGCCCUUGAUCCAGCUAAAGAAAAAUAUGAAAAAUUGGCCAUCUAUUACUUGUGUUCUGCUAGCAGACAACUGAAUAAUCGCAAAGAUAUGAUGAAAUUAAUCAACAAGGUUGUGUUUUUGUACCGCACGGAUGAAUCUUUAACUGUCCCUAGGGUCAAACCAUUUGACCAAUUGUUCACAUGGAUAGUAAUAAGGUGCCCACAUCAAAGACCAGAUUCAGUGGACUGUGGAUAUUGUGUGAUGAGAUUCAUUAAAGACAUCAUCACUCACGCCAAGACUUCAAUCUUUACCAAGUAUUAUGAUGACGCUUGUUGUGAAGAAUUUGGGGAUGCACACAUCAAUGAAGUCGUGGAAGAGUGGUGCUAACAUAUAUUUCAACUUUGGAUCAUGCAAAAUUCAUGCAUUUAGUGAGUGCACAUUUGGUCUAGCUUGAAGGCAAAAAGAAUGUGGCUUAGGAUAGAAUUAUUGUUUCAUUUUUUAGGAUAAAAUUGUGAUUUAGGAUUAAGAUUUGCAACUUUUUUGUUUAUAAUUAAUGUGACUGUGUAUA